GAGAAAACAGCAGUAUCUCAUCCAUUUUUAUGACAGUGAUUGUAAUUAAAUUGGAAAGGAUAUGAAAGCAACCUGUUCUUAUUAUAAUUUAUAUAUCCUUAUCUUACAGCCUUUCCUCUAUUCUUGUAAUUUAGAGUCGGCUUACCAGGGUACCCUUUGGACAGUGAUUCUUUCGGAAACAUGCAUGACUUGUAUGUGCAGACCACUCUGUCAGAUAGUGGCAGUGCCAAUCAUGCUGUUUGUAUGACGCCAGUCCUCAGCCUGAUGUAGCUGCUGUUGCCCUUUGCUCUCAGGGUUUAUAACAGCUCAGUACAUUACAAUAUGAGGACAUAACAAGUUAACUGGAAACAUUCU
ensembl:lncRNA